CUCCAGCCAAUUAAGGUGACCGGCCCCCCAUUCCCUGUGGGAACCAGUGUGUAGUGGCUGCAGACAGCAGUCUUUUUGGUAAUGUACAUGGCCUGUUGCUUGUACAGGUUGCCCUAAGGGACCUUGGAGACAGCC
rnacentral:snoRNA from 1 species